rnacentral:rRNA from 1 species
CGUAACCUACGGGGGGCAGCAGUAGGGAAUCUUCCACAAUGGACGAAAGUCUGAUGGAGCAACGCCGCGUGAGUGAAGAAGGGUUUCGGCUCGUAAAGCUCUGUUGGUAGUGAAGAAAGAUAGAGGGAGUAACUGGCCUUUAUUUGACGGUAAUUACUUAGAAAGUCACGGCUAACUACGUGCCAGCAGCCGCGGGAAUACGUAGGUGGCAAGCGUUGUCCGGAUUUAUUGG